rnacentral:rRNA from 1 species
AUUGAACGCUGGCGGCAUGCUUUACGCAUGCAAGUCGAACGGUAACAGGCCGCAAGGUGCUGACGAGUGGCGAACGGGUGAGUAAUGCAUCGGAACGUGCCCAGUCGUGGGGGAUAACUACUCGAAAGAGUAGCUAAUACCGCAUACGAUCUAUGGAUGAAAGCGGGGGACCGUAAGGCCUCGCGCGAUUGGAGCGGCCGAUGUCAGAUUAGGUAGUUGGUGGGGUAAAGGCUCACCAAGCCAACGAUCUGUAGCUGGUCUGAGAGGACGACCAGCCACACUGGGACUGAGACACGGCCCAGACUCCUACGGGAGGCAGCAGUGGGGAAUUUUGGACAAUGGGCGCAAGCCUGAUCCAGCAAUGCCGCGUGCAGGAAGAAGGCCUUCGGGUUGUAAACUGCUUUUGUACGGAACGAAACGGCUCUGGUUAAUACCCGGGGCUAAUGACGGUACCGUAAGAAUAAGCACCGGCUAACUACGU